UACAGAGGGUGCUAGCGUUGUUCGGAAUCAUUGGGCGUAAAGGGCGUGUAGGCGGUUUGUUAAGUCAUGUGUGAAAUCCCUCGGCUCAACCGGGGAACGACGCAUGAAACUGGCAGCUAGAGUACCAAAGAGGGGGUGGAAUUCCCGGUGUAGCGGUGAAAUUCGUAGAUAUUCGGAAGAACACCAGUGGCGAAGGCGGCUCACUGGCCCGGUACUGACGCUGAGGUGCGAAAGCGUGGGGAGCAAACAGG
rnacentral:rRNA from 1 species